rnacentral:rRNA from 1 species
UACGUAGGGUGCAAGCGUUGUCCGGAAUUAUUGGGCGUAAAGAGCUCGUAGGCGGUUUGUCGCGUCGGAUGUGAAAGCCCGGGGCUUAACCCCGGGUCUGCAUUCGAUACGGGCAGGCUAGAGUUCGGUAGGGGAGAUCGGAAUUCCUGGUGUAGCGGUGAAAUGCGCAGAUAUCAGGAGGAACACCGGUGGCGAAGGCGGCUUGCUGGGCCUUACCUGACGCUGAGGAGCGAAAGCGUGGGGAGCGAACAGG